rnacentral:tRNA from 1 species
GUCCGGAUAGUGUAGAGGCCUAUCAUGAAGCCCUGUCGAGGCUUCGACCCGGGUUCGACUCCCGGUCCGGGCGCUA